AUUUAAUCUAAUUUUCAGAUAUAGAAUGGCAGAGACUCAGAAAGAGGAAUAGGAAUUAGAUUUAGAAGAGUUUGAGAUAAAAGAAGAGAUAGUUUCCUUAAAGGAAGAAAUUAUUCCCUCCUUUACAGUAGAGGCUAAAUGCACUGUUAAUGUAAAAGAGGAUAUAAAGAUGGCAAAUACAGGAAUACAAGAUGAAUUGAAUACUGAGAUACAGGAAACAGUAGAGCAUAAACCUGUAUUUGAUCAUGAUUUUCACACUGAGCUAAUUAUCAAAGAUGAAUUCAAGAACUUAGAUUCAGGUAUACAAGAUGUUGAAAACAGUAAACCUGUAUUUGAUCCUGAUUUUCACACCGAGCUAAUCAUUAAAGACGAAUAUGAGGAUUGUAAU